GACGAACGCUGGCGGCGUGCUUAACACAUGCAAGUCGAACGGAAAGGCCCUGCUUUUGUGGGGUGCUCGAGUGGCGAACGGGUGAGUAACACGUGAGUAACCUGCCCUUGACUUUGGGAUAACUUCAGGAAACUGGGGCUAAUACCGGAUAGGAGCUCCUGCUGCAUGGUGGGGGUUGGAAAGUUUCGGCGGUUGGGGAUGGACUCGCGGCUUAUCAGCUGGUUGGUGGGGUAGUGGCUUACCAAGGCUUUGACGGGUAGCCGGCCUGAGAGGGGGACCGGCCACAUUGGGACUGAGAGACGGCCCAGACUCCUACGGGAGGCAGUAGUGGGGAAUAUUGCACAAUGGGCGGAAGCCUGAUGCAGCAACGCCGCGUGCGGGAUGACGGCCUUCGGGUUGUAAACCGCUUUCGCCUGUGACGAAGAGUGAGUGACGGUAAUGGGUAAAGAAGCACCGGCUAACUACGUG
rnacentral:rRNA from 1 species